rnacentral:rRNA from 1 species
AGAAUCAACGCUGGCGGCGUGCCUAACACAUGCAAGUCGAACGAGAAAGUGGUAGCAAUACCAUGAGUAAAGUGGCGCACGGGUGAGUAACACGUGACUAACCUACCCUUGAGUGGGGGAUAACUGAGGGAAACCUUAGCUAAUACCGCAUAAUACCCACGGGUCAAAGGAGCAAUUCGCUCGAGGAGGGGGUCGCGGCCGAUUAGUUAGUUGGCGGGGUAAUGGCCCACCAAGACGAUGAUCGGUAUCCGGCCUGAGAGGGCGCACGGACACACUGGAACUGAAACACGGUCCAGACUCCUACGGGAGGCAGCAGUGGGAAUUUUGCGCAAUGGGGGAAACCCUGACGCAGCAACGCCGCGUGGAGGAUGAAGUCCUUGGGACGUAAACUCCUUUCGAUCGGGACGAUUAUGACGGUACCGGAAGAAGAAGCCCCGGCUAACUUCGUGCCAGCAGCCGC